rnacentral:lncRNA from 1 species
GGUAGUCCCCUCCUUGUGCCGGACCGUUCAGGCUACGACCGUCGCGGCGGAGGCCGGCGGCAGAGGGGGGGCCAUUCCCCCGGUCACAGAGAGGUAUGGCCGGCGGUCGAUUGCGAGCGCCGGCGCCGAAAAAUCUACGGAAAAAAGAGACCAAAACAGAGGUCCCUUUUUCCGACCGAAAAUCGGUGACUCCCGUCGCCGGCAGCCGUGCACAAGGGCAUGGGAGGAAGGGGAAGGAAGAGGGGAAGAAGAGGAAGACUCAUCUCGGCCUCCGGUGACCCCACCGGCGGGCAAUCACGGCGAGAAUCAAAACGAUAUCCGCGGCUCCGAUCGGAAAAAAUAGGGAGAAAGAGAGAGGAAGGGGGCCGAUGUUGGGUUUCUAGGAAAAGAGGAG